rnacentral:pre_miRNA from 3 species
GAUGGUGAUCUAGCCCUUUGGAUGUUAGUGCACUGUGUGUGAGUAUACAUAUUUAUCACACACAGUCACUGUCUUUGAAAGUGAGGGUGCAUAUC